GAUGUGGUGCUUUGAAUCACUUG
rnacentral:piRNA from 1 species